CACGUAGGGAGCAAGCGUUAUUCGGAAUUACUGGGCAUAAAGGGCGUGUAGGCGGUGAGGCGUGUUGGAUGUGAAAGCCCCCGGCUCAACCGGGGAAUUGCGUUCAAAACUGUCUCGCUAGAGUGGAGUAGGGGAGAGUGGAACUCUGGGUGGAGCGGUGAUAUGCGUUGAUAUCCAGAGGAACGCCGGUGGCGAAAGCGACUCUCUGGGCUCCAACUGACGCUGAGGCGCGAAAGCCAGGGGAG
rnacentral:rRNA from 1 species